rnacentral:rRNA from 1 species
GACGAACGCUGGCGGCGUGCCUAAUACAUGCCAGUAGAACGCUGAAGAGAGGAGCUUACUCUUCUUGGAUGAGUUGCGAACGGGUGAGUAACGCGUAGGUAACCUGCCUUGUAGCGGGGGAUAACUAUUGGAAACGAUAGCUAAUACCGCAUAACAAUGGAUGACACAUGUCAUUUAUUUGAAAGGGGCAAUUGCUCCACUACAAGAUGGACCUGCGUUGUAUUAGCUAGUAGGUGAGGUAAUGGCUCACCUAGGCGACGAUACAUAGCCGACCUGAGAGGGUGAUCGGCCACACUGGGACUGAGACACGGCCCAGACUCCUACGGGAGGCAGCAGUAGGGAAUCUUCGGCAAUGGGGGCAACCCUGACCGAGCAACGCCGCGUGAGUGAAGAAGGUUUUCGGAUCGUAAAGCUCUGUUGUAAGUCAAGAACGGGUGUGAGAGUGGAAAGUUCACACUGUGACGGUAGCUUACCAGAAAGGGACGGCUAACUACG